UGGAACAUUACUGACGCUAAGGCGUGAAAGCGUGGGGAGCAAACGGGAUUAGAUACCCCGGUAGUCCACGCCCUAAACGAUGUUCACUAGUCGUCGGGAUGCUAGUCAUCUCGGUGAUGCACUUAACAGAUUAAGUGAACCGCCUGGGGAGUACGGUCGCAAGAUUAAAACUCAAAGGAAUAGACGGGGACCCGCACAAGUGGUGGAGCAUGUGGUUUAAUUCGAAGAUACGCGAAGAACCUUACCUAGCCUUGACAUUGAUAGAAUACACCAGAGAUGGAGUAGUGCCUUUCGGGGAACUUGAAAACAGGUGCUGCACGGCUGUCGUCAGCUCGUGUCGUGAGAUGUUGGGUUAAGUCCCGCAACGAGCGCAACCCUCGUCCUUAGUUGCCAGCAGGUUAAGCUGGGCACUCUAAGGAGACUGCCUUCGUAAGGAGGAGGAAGGUGAGGACGACGUCAAGUCAUCAUGGCCCUUAUGGCUAGGGCUACACACGUGCUACAAUGGGGCGUACAGAGUGUUGCGAUACCGCGAGGUGGAGCUAAUCACUUAAAGCGUCUCUCAGUUCGGAUAGCAGUCUGCAACUCGACUGCUUGAAGCUGGAAUCACUAGUAAUCGUAGAUCAGCAAUGCUACGGUGAAUACGU
rnacentral:rRNA from 1 species